AUUGAACGCUGGCGGAAUGCUUUACACAUGCAAGUCGAACGGUAGAGGGGGCAACCCCUUGAGAGUGGCGAACGGGUGAGUAAUAUAUCGGAACGUGCCCAGUCGUGGGGAUAACGUAGCGAAAGUUACGCUAAUACCGCAUACGAUCUAAGGAUGAAAGCGGGGGAUCGCAAGAUCUCGCGCGAUUGGAGCGGCCGAUAUCAGAUUAGGUAGUUGGUGAGGUAAAGGCUCACCAAGCCAACGAUCUGUAGCUGGUCUGAGAGGACGACCAGCCACACUGGAACUGAGACACGGUCCAGACUCCUACGGGAGGCAGCAGUGGGGAAUUUUGGACAAUGGACGCAAGUCUGAUCCAGCCAUUCCGCGUGCAGGAUGAAGGCCCUCGGGUUGUAAACUGCUUUUGUACGGAACGAAAGGUUGUCUUAAUACGAUGAGCUCAUGACGGUACCGUAAGAAUAAGCACCGGCUAACUACGUGCCAGCAGCCGCGGUAAAG
rnacentral:rRNA from 1 species